rnacentral:rRNA from 1 species
CUUUCCCUCUUCCCUCCGGCCUAACACAUGCAAGUCGAACGGUAACAGGAAACAGCUUGCUGUUUCGCUGACGAGUGGCGGACGGGUGAGUAAUGUCUGGGAAACUGCCUGAUGGAGGGGGAUAACUACUGGAAACGGUAGCUAAUACCGCAUAACGUCGCAAGACCAAAGAGGGGGACCCUCGGGCCUCUUGCCAUCGGAUGUGCCCAGAUGGGAUUAGCUUGUUGGUGGGGUAACGGCUCACCAAGGCGACGAUCCCUAGCUGGUCUGAGAGGAUGACCAGCCACACUGGAACUGAGACACGGUCCAGACUCCUACGGGAGGCAGCAGUGGGGAAUAUUGCACAAUGGGCGCAAGCCUGAUGCAGCCAUGCCGCGUGUAUGAAGAAGGCCUUCGGGUUGUAAAGUACUUUCAGCGGGGAGGAAGGGAGUAAAGUUAAUACCUUUGCUCAUUGACGUUACCCGCAGAAGAAGCACGGGCUAGCUCCGUG